rnacentral:rRNA from 1 species
GAAGCCGGAAUUGCUAGUAAUGGCAGGUCAGCAUACUGCCGUGAAUACGUUCCCGGGCCUUGUACACACCGCCCGUCACACCAUGAGAGUUGGGAAUACCCGAAGCCUGUGAGCUAACUUAUAGAGGCAGCAGUCGAAGGUAGAAUCAAUGAUUGGGGUGAAGUCGUAACAAGGUAAC